AUUCUACUCCCUCCGUUGCACAAUACAUGCCUUCUAUUUAUCAAAAUAUAUACGUAUCUAGACAUGUUUUAGUAUACAGGCACAUCCAUUUUUGGACAAAUGGAAGUCAAGUAUUUUGGAACGGAGGGAGUACACU
rnacentral:pre_miRNA from 1 species